GAUGAACGCUAGCUACAGGCUUAACACAUGCAAGUCGAGGGGUAACGAGAGGAAAGCUUGCUUUCCUUGUCGACGACCGGCGCACGGGUGAGUAACGCGUAUCCAACCUGCCCCCAACUAGGGAAUAACCUUGCGAAAGUAAGACUAAUACCCUAUAAUUUCCUCAGAUGUCAUCUGACGAGGAAUAAAGAUUUAUCGGUUGUGGAUGGGGAUGCGUCUGAUUAGCUUGUUGGCGGGGUAACGGCCCACCAAGGCAACGAUCAGUAGGGGUUCUGAGAGGAAGGUCCCCCACAUUGGAACUGAGACACGGGCCAAACGCCUACGGGAGGCAGCAGUGAGGAAUAUUGGUCAAUGGGCGGAAGCCUGAACCAGCCAAGUAGCGUGCAGGUUGACGGCCCUAUGGGUUGUAAACUGCUUUUAUACAGGAAUAAAGUUAGCCACGUGUGGUUAUUUGUAGGUACUGUAUGAAUAAGGACCGGCUAAUUCCGUGCCAGCCGCCGCAGUAA
rnacentral:rRNA from 1 species